GCGAGCGAUUGAUUGAUCGAGAGCGAUUGAGCGAUCGCUCGUUUUUUUGCGAGCGAGAUCGAGCGAUUGAUCGCACCAAUUUAUCGAGAGCGAGAUCAAGAGCGAAUGGUGUUGAGUGAUAUCGAUCGUAACUUCAGCGCCAUCUAGCGGUCGCAAUUAAAAGAUCUGUAAAAACGUUGAACGGUUGCCUUUUUCCGUUUCCGUUGUAACAUGUAAGAAGUGGUCUGCCAUUGAAGACGCCACUUUAAUUGACAGUUUUUCUAGCAAACGAACAAUUAUGAGAUGGAUCCCACGCCUUCCACAUCAAAAAAUGACCCUGUUAUUGAUUUAACUGAAACUGAAAGUCAAGAUAAAAACUCAAACUCUUCAGGGAAGUCAGGAACGAAAAUUUGUAAUUGUUUUGAUGGACAGUGGAGUCAUUCCAGAAAUACAAUGUUUUGGUGAGCGA